GAUGAACGCUGGCGGCGUGCUUAACACAUGCAAGUCGAACGAAGCAUUUAGAACAGAUUACUUCGGUUUGAAGUUCUUUAUGACUGAGUGGCGGACGGGUGAGUAACGCGUGGGUAACCUGCCUUGUACUGGGGGAUAGCAGCUGGAAACGGCUGGUAAUACCGCAUAAGCGCACAAUGUUGCAUGACAUGGUGUGAAAAACUCUGGUGGUAUAAGAUGGACCCGCGUCUGAUUAGCUAGUUGGUGAGAUAACAGCCCACCAAGGCGACGAUCAGUAGCCGAGCUGAGAAGGUGACCGGCCACAUUGGGACUGAGACACGGCCCAGACUCCUACGGGGAGCAGCAGUGGGGAAUAUUGCACAAUGGAGGAAACUCUGAUGCAGCGACGCCGCGUGAGUGAAGAAGUAAUUCGUUAUGUAAAGCUCUAUCAGCAGGGAAGAUAGUGACGGUACCUGACUAAGAAGCGCCGGCUAAAUACGUG
rnacentral:rRNA from 1 species